UACGUAGGGUGCAAGCGUUGUCCGGAAUUAUUGGGCGUAAAGAGCGUGUAGGCGGUUUGGUAGGUCCGUUGUGAAAACUCGAGGCUCAACCUCGAGACGCCGAUGGAAACCAUCAGACUAGAGUCCGGAAGAGGAGAGUGGAAUUCCUGGUGUAGCGGUGAAAUGCGUAGAUAUCGGAAGGAACACCUGUGGCGAAAGCGGCUCACUGGACCAUUACUGACGCUGAGGCACGAAAGCUAGGGGAGCAAACAGG
rnacentral:rRNA from 1 species